rnacentral:lncRNA from 1 species
GGGAUUAGUUUUUGUUACUUCUAUCUCCUGGAAGGUUAGCCGUGACUUUUUUCUUCUUCCCAUUUUUUUGUUUCUGUCCUUUCCAUUUUUAACAGGAGAGAAGUCAUCCUCGUUAGCUUGAUUCUUUUGUUCUAUUUGGAGUAGAUCUUCAAGAAUGGUAACCGUGACUCUAUUUGGAGAGGUGACCUCAAAAUGUUACUCUACUCCCUUCCUUUCCUGCUCUGCCUCUGGUUGCUUUUGUGCUGGAUCCCAAUUAAGAUCAACCACCAAGUCAAGCCUUGGCAUGGCCUUAACCUUAGAUGGUAUACUUGAGGACCUCUCUGAACUUACAUGGGUCGUGUUACAUUACCUCUGCCCUCUACAUUUAUCUCAUUUUCAUGGUUAUUGGUAGAGUCUUGGACGACCUCAUUAGAACUGUAGGUGGCAUCCUUCUUUGGACACAUGCUUUCAAUAGUAUUUUCCUGCCGGCCAUUAUUAUCUUUAUCUUCAUUGGAGUCAUUCUUAAGGUUCCCUGCUUGUUUCUUUUCAAUCUCUUGUUCACAAUGUUGCUCGAUAACCCUUGCCAAAUUACUUUGUCCCUCUUUAUUUUUACUUGCAGGUUGCUGGAUGAUGGAUUUAAACACCACUUUGAAUUUUUUCUUAGGGAGCCUCUUUUGCUUGCCCGCCUUCUUCUCUUUAGAAGUCCUUGCAUUGAUGGUUUGAUUUUGCUGUUGCACACUCUGUUCU